AUAACUGCUGCUGUGAAGAGAAGAAUUGUCAGACUCAGUGUUGAACAUCAGCUACUUUCUCCUGUUGCUUUAAACCUUCUUGUAGAGAUGGAACAUUGGCUGUGGAUGAUUCUUGCUGCUCUUUUCUUUGAGUGUAAAGGAGAAGACAGAGUGAUCCAGGAAACAGGAGAUGUCAUUGCUGCUGAAGGAGAGACAGUAACACUCCCCUGUACAUAUGAAACCAGUUACUCAGGUCCAACUCUGUUCUGGUACAAACAAGAAGCAAAUGAUUUUCCAAAGCUUCUGCUGCAGCGUGUCUCAACAACAGCAGGUAAUCCUGCAGAAAAACAGAAAGAGAGAAUCGAUGCUGUGGCCAACAAGACAUCAGUUCCUCUGGAGAUCCAGAAGCUUCAGCUGUCUGACUCUGCUGUGUACUACUGUGCUCUGCAGCCCACAGUGACAGGAAACAGCACAACUCUGUACAAAAACCUUUGGAGCAAAGACAACAGAAUACUCCACAACAUCCACUAGAGGGAGUCACACACU